AGCAGGUGAUGAAGCCAAGGAUGACUUGCCAACACCCACUCAUGAUCUGCUAAGAGGAAAAACAUGUAUACAACGUUGUGAUAUGCAGGAGGGAGUUGGCAAGGUGUCUUUGGCUACAUAUCCUGCGGU
rfam:Picea glauca, whole genome shotgun sequence.